rnacentral:rRNA from 1 species
UACGGGGGGGGCAAGCGUUUGUUCGGAAUUACUGGGCGUAAAGGGCUCGUAGGUGGCCAACUAAGUCAGACGUGAAAAUCCCCUCGGCUUAACCGGGGAACUGCGUCUGAUACUGGUUGGCUUGAGAUUGGGAGAGGGACGCGGAAUUCCAGGUGUAGCGGUGAAAUGCGUAGAUAUCUGGAGGAACACCGGUGGCGAAGGCGGCGUCCUGGACCAACACUGACACUGAGGAGCGAAAGCCAGGGGAGCAAACGGG